UGUGCCCAGACUAGCAAGACUUUUUACAAGUACAGUGAUGUCUCUGACUCUGCAUGCUAGUCUGAGUAUCCCCAGGCUACCCAAGGUUUCAUUCAGCUGAAGCCCAGAGGGAGGCAAGGCAAUGAUUGCCCAGCCAGCUGGACAGGAGGCACA
rnacentral:lncRNA from 12 species